UCUGCGUGUAGCAGGGGUUCGCGAACAGCGCGCCCUUGCGGUGGGCGCGCCAGACCGCCGUCGCGUUGCAGCCGCGCGCGUUGGU
rnacentral:tRNA from 1 species